rnacentral:lncRNA from 1 species
UUAACAGAGUUUGAGAAGAGCCAUGCGAUGAUUAAGUGGUUGGGAAAAGACGUGGAAGAAAGGCUCAAGGACCCACACUUUUAAAGUCUGGAGGGGAGAACCUGGAGGAGGGUAUAGAAUAAUGAUUUUUAAGUGCCAGGCACUUACUAAUCAACUGACAUGCACUCUGUGAACACUUAGAAGAUGCCAGGUCUUGAGCGGGGUGCCUUAGCUCUGCCCUAGAGCUGGGAAGAGUAAGGGUUUAAAAAGUAAGUACACAGUGACGUGGGAGUGAUUUAAGAUCGACAAAAGAGGGAUGCCUGGGUGGCUCAGUCAGUUAAGCAUCUGACUUUGGCUCAGGUCAUGAUCUUGCAGUUCUUGGGUUCGAGCCCUGCAUCUGGCUCUGUGCUGACAGCUCAGAGUCUGGGGCCUGCUUCAGAUGCUGUGUCUCCCUCCCUCUCCACCCCUCCCCUACUUACUCUGUCUCAAAAAAUGAAUAAACAUUAAAACAAUUUUUUUCUUAAGACCAAAGAAAGGACUUCCCCAACCUGAAGGAGCUCGUUGCAGAACUGAAAUCCCAGGGAAUCCAGAAGGAAAAACGUGCUGUGUCCGGCUCGGCAUCACAGUUGCAAAGAAGACACUACUGUGACCCCUCCAAACCCUCCAGGCACACGCAUCCUUCUGCCAAGGGCUUCUUGUUGCAAGCGGCUGACUUUUUCUGCCAGAAGGCUUUUCUCUGGGGCAUGAGACCAGUUAAAGUCCUCCCAGAAGAAGCCCUCAAUCAACGAGGAGUGGGAGUGGUGGGUAAAUAACACACCUCCUCAUCCUGCAGGUAGGACGUCUCUGGGACAUGUGCUACACAGUGUCCCGGCAUGCCCAGCGAUUCUGAGCCCUGGUUGCCCACACUGGUCACUAGCCUGAUAUUGUGCUACUUGCCUGACACAGCUCUCUCCCAUUCUACUUCUCUACCAAUGUGUCCUGUGAUUACCCCCAAGUGAGUCACUUGAAUCCAUGUCAGGAUCUGCUUCUGGGAAAACCUAAACCUACAGCAAGGCCCUCAGGGGCAGUUGAGUCUUCACCUGGUCUGCAUAUCACUCUAGGCUAUGCCCAGCCUGGUAGUGAAUACCAGGCACUCAACAAACACCAAUGAAUGCAUGAAUGAAUGAAUGAAUGAACAAUGAGUGACUUUCUUCUCUAAAACUCAGAUUGCCCUAGAGGGAUACAUCCAUGUUCCGAAAAGUUAACCGGUUUACCCA